CCUACGGAGGGCAGCAGUGAGGAAUAUUGGUCAAUGGGCGCGAGCCUGAACCAGCCAAGUAGCGUGAAGGAUGACUGCCCUACGGGUUGUAAACUUCUUUUAUAAAGGAAUAAAGUGAGGCGCGUGUGCCUUUUUGUAUGUACUUUAUGAAUAAGGAUCGGCUAACUCCGUGCCAGCAGCCGCGGUAAUACGGAGGAUCCGAGCGUUAUCCGGAUUGAGUGGGUUUAAAGGGAGCGUAGAUGGGUUGUUAAGUCCGUUGUGAAAGUUUGCGGCGUAACCGUAAAAUUGCAAUUGAUACUGGCAGUCUUGAGUACAGUUGAGGUAGGCGGAAUUCGUGGUGUAGCGGUGAAAUGCUUAGAUAUCACGAAGAACUCCGAUUGCGAAGGCAGCUUACUAAACUGCCACUGACAUUGAUGCUCGAAAGUGUGGGUAUCAAACAGGAUUAGAUACCCCAGUAGUC
rnacentral:rRNA from 1 species